UACAGAGGGGGCAAGCGUUGUUCGGAAUUACUGGGCGUAAAGAGCGCGUAGGCGGCCAGGUAAGUCAGGCGUGCAAUACUAUGGCUUAACCAUAGAACUGCGUUUGAUACUGCUUGGCUUGAGUAUAGGAGAGGGAAGUGGAAUUCCAAGUGUAGCGGUGAAAUGCGUAGAUAUUUGGAGGAACACCAGUGGCGAAGGCGGCUUCCUGGACUAAUACUGACGCUAAGGCGCGAAAGCUAGGGGAGCAAACGGG
rnacentral:rRNA from 1 species